rnacentral:rRNA from 1 species
UACGAAGGGUGCAAGCGUUACUCGGAAUUACUGGGCGUAAAGCGUGCGUAGGUGGUUUGUUGCGUCGGCUGUGAAAACCCAUGGCUUAACCGUGGGCUUGCAGCCGAUACGGGCAGGCUAGAGUUCGGUAGGGGAGACUGGAAUUCUUGGUGUAGCGGUGAAAUGCGUAGAUAUCAAGAGGAACACCUGCGGCGAAGGCGGGUUGCUGGGCCGACACUGACGCUGAGGCGCGAAAGCCAGGGGAGCGAACGGG